AGUGUGCCAACCUGCCAGGGGUGGAGAUGCUGCGCUCCAACGCAGAGGGAGCGUCCCUGAAAGGCUGCAACUCUGAGGACCCAUCAGGCCUUAAAGCUAAUCUGGAAGGUGCCAACCUGAAAGGAGUGGCCAUGGAGGGCAGUCAGAUGACAGGAAUUAACCUCUGAGUUGCAACUCUGAGAAACGCCAAACUAAAGAACUGUAACCUCAGGGUUGCAACGUUGGCAGGAACUGAUUUGGAAAAUUGUGACCUAUCAGGUUGUGACCUCCAGGAAGCCAAUUUGAGGGGCUCUGAUGUGAAAGGAGCCAUCUUUGAAGAGAUGCUGACCCCCCUGCACAUGUCCCAGAGCAACAGAUAGGGAAGGGAAGACGUCAAAGAGGAAGGAAUCCAAACAUUUGUUGUGACUUUCUUCACCUCCUCCCCUUCCUGAGUUAGAAGUAAUGGUUAUUAGACAACUUCCAUUUGCAGUAGUGCCCAAGUAGACUCUUUCUGAUCACUUUUGGGGAGGGAAUUUUUGUUUCAGAGGUGGAAAGAGAGAGUUUCUCCCUUUGUGAAGAGAGUGAGGAAGUGGGCUGGUUGUGAAACCAGAAAGUGGGGCUGGUUUGGGGGGGAGGAUU